rnacentral:RNase_P_RNA from 1 species
CCAGGGGGCCGGGCAGCCGCGUGCCGCAAGGUACGAGGAAAGUCCGGGCUCCACGAGACAAGGGUGGCGGGUAACGCCCGCCCGGCCGGUUUCUUCGGAGAUCGGUCGAGGGAAAGUGCCACAGAGAGCAAACCGCCGAUGGCCUGCUUGCAGGCUCAGGCAAGGGUGAAAGGGUGCGGUAAGAGCGCACCGGGGCUUCGGCAACGCGGCCCGCACGGCAAACCCCACCCGGAGC